GUGUGCCGAAAAGCACACACAUAUAAUAAUGCGAAGUUUUGUACUCAUAAGUGCAAAACUCGGCAGAUAAACAGUGAAGCUGAAUUUCUGCUGAACUGUUUAUCAUAC
rnacentral:sRNA from 1 species